rnacentral:rRNA from 1 species
AACAUUACACGACUCUCGGCAACGGAUAUCUAGGCUCUCGCAUCGAUGAAGAACGUAGCAAACUGCGAUACUUGGUGUGAAUUGCAGAAUCCCGUGAACCAUCGAGUCUUUGAACGCAAGUUGCGCCCGAAGCCAUUANGCCGAGGGCACGUCUGCCUGGGCG